GUUUCACUUUCACUUUUACAACGUCGUAGGUAUAGUAGGCCCCUAAUGACCCAUAUCUAUGGUGCUUAUAGCGACUGAUAACGCCUAUUAAAUGGCCUGAAAACAGUCAAAUUGGCUGUCUCCAGUAACAUCCA